AUGGAUCGUUCAUAUGCACCAUCUGAUCGUCCAAGAUCCUACGGCUCAAACAUCUGCUCUCCCUCUCUCUUUUCUCUUCCAACCGUGGCCCCACUAGCCGCCGUGCUUCCUUCAACCCAUAUUCCCUUAACCAGGCCUUGCAUCGCCGGCGGUGCCGCCACCUCCCCACGCUGCUCCACCUAUCCCGAUUUGGUCUUACUCCACCAGACGGCCUGCAUCUCGACGUCCAGGAACGCGACCACCACCGUGUGCCACACGGACGAGGGGCAGAGCCAUCAAGGCAUCCUUCGGGCUCGUCGACCCGCCGGGCGCUGCUACAUCUCCGUCCACUACACAGGCCUCCAGGAGGAAGACUUUCCCGGCGAACCCGAGGUCAUCUGCGCUGAGUUCCUUUGCCUUGUAGGUCUAGGCGCUAUGAGGCUGCAGCGAGGCAAGGACCGCCGCCAGAAGUGGAGCUGCGUGCGCUGGGCCAUCGGGGGGGGCGUGGGCUACGCCGAAGAGAAGGGUCGACCCUUCGCCGGGGAACUUCGCCGACUAAUCGCUGAGAUCUAUGUGGUGGUGGCCCCUGCCAUCGAGUGCCAAUAG
rnacentral:rRNA from 1 species